UACGUAGGGCGCAAGCGUUGUCCGGAAUUAUUGGGCGUAAAGGGCUCGUAGGCGGUUUGUCGCGUCGGGAGUGAAAACUCAGGGCUCAACCCUGAGCGUGCUUCCGAUACGGGCAGACUAGAGGUAUUCAGGGGAGAACGGAAUUCCUGGUGUAGCGGUGGAAUGCGCAGAUAUCAGGAGGAACACCGGUGGCGAAGGCGGUUCUCUGGGAAUUACCUGACGCUGAGGAGCGAAAGCAUGGGGAGCGAACAGG
rnacentral:rRNA from 1 species